rnacentral:misc_RNA from 1 species
UCCCUGUUACCAGGGCAGUCUCGUUAGAAAAUCCAACUAACGAUAAGGGUUGCGCUCGUUGCGGGACUUAACCCAACAUCUCACGACACGAGCUGAAGACGGCCAUGCAGCACCUGUCACCGCGUUCCUAAAAGGCACAGUCACCUUUCGGUGUCCUUCGCGGGAUGUCAAACCUUGGUAAGGUUCUCGGCUUAGUAUCCAAUUAAACAACACGCUCCACCGCUUGUGCGGGUCCCCGUCAAUUCCUUUGAGUUUUAGUCUUGCGACCGUACUCCCCAGGCGGGAUGCUUAACGCGUUAGCUUUGCUUCUGAAGGGGUCGAUACCUCCAAACAGCUAGCAUCCAUCGUUUACAGCGUGGACUAC